rnacentral:lncRNA from 1 species
GGAAGAUAGGCAGGAUUAGGAGACGAGGAGAAUUCUGGGAAAGGUAGAUGGAGAGAUACCGGGAAGAGAUGCCAUGUAGCCACCAAAGGAGUAACAGGUCCGGACAUUCUCUGAUUCAUCAGCAAAUACCCAAAAAGGACUGUCCUUACACCUGACUUGACAGUCACAGAGGUCUGUGCUGGACUAACUGAGAUAAUCAGGGCCAGUUGUGACUAAGAGCAGGUAGGCAGAGGAAGAGCUUGAAGACUGUGUUGAGAACUAAGCCCAAGCAAUGGAUGCUGCAACUGACCACGCGGGAAGCAGCUGCCACAAACAGCUCCUGCUGGCAGCUGGCAAUUAGAAAGGGGGGGAUCUUGGAGUUAAUUUGAAGAGAAUUAUUGGGCCAUCUGGAGGGCCUUAUCAAAAGGCAGAGUUUUGGUUAAAAAUUCAAUCUUGUUCCAAGACUGAGAGAGAAACAUCAUUGAGUUCUGGAAACAUACUGCAUGUUCAGAGGCA